rnacentral:rRNA from 1 species
UACGAAGGGAGCUAGCGUUGUUCGGAAUCACUGGGCGUAAAGCGCACGUAGGCGGCUUGUUAAGUCGGGGGUGAAAUCCUGGAGCUCAACUCCAGAACUGCCUUCGAUACUGGCGAGCUCGAGUUCGGGAGAGGUGAGUGGAACUGCGAGUGUAGAGGUGAAAUUCGUAGAUAUUCGCAAGAACACCAGUGGCGAAGGCGGCUCACUGGCCCGAUACUGACGCUGAGGUGCGAAAGCGUGGGGAGCAAACAGG